GUGCUACAAUUCCUAAUCAUUUUAGACACUUUAGGAGGGGGUGAAGUUGUAUGAUAAAGCAGAUAUUUUAAUUAUUUGUUAUCUUUUUGUAUUGCAAGAAAUUUCUUGCUAGUGAAUCAAGAAAACAUCCAGGUUGACAGUCUAAAAUGGCUACUGGUAUUUUAGUUAAUUCAAAAAUGAAACUUUUCAGUGAUUCACUUUACUAACAUUCUAUUUGAGAAGGCUUAUUGGUAAAGUUUGGGGAUAAAGGCAUUGCUU
rnacentral:lncRNA from 1 species